rnacentral:lncRNA from 1 species
AUGGUAGACGUAAUGGAGUUGCCCAGGUCGUGCAUCAACGCCGGCAUGCUACUUGGUUCAUCGACCAGCCCAUCUGCUUCACAGGGAGGCUGGAAAAGACUCAUCCCACUGGAAAAAUGUUUAUUCUUUCAGAUGAAGAAGGAAAAAAUGGAAUCAUUGAGUUAAUGGAGCCCCUUCAUGAAGAAAUCUCUGGAAUCUUGGAAGUGUUGGAAGAGUAAGCACCAAGGCAACCAUCAUGUGUGCAUCUUAUGUCCAGUUUAAAGAAGAUAACCAUCCUUUUGAUCUUGGACUUUACAAUGAAGCUGUGAAAAUUAUCCAUGAGUUCCCUCAGUUUUAUCCUUUAGGGAUUGUGCAACAUG